GAAAGCCGUAUACAUCGAGAGGUGUCCGUGCGGUUUGGGAGGGAGUGGAAGCGAGUCCUUUUCGGAGGAUGAGCUGAAACUUACCUCAU
rnacentral:ncRNA from 1 species